CUAAAGGCUCUUUUAAGAGCCACUAUAUUGCAUAAGAGGGCUGUG
rfam:Cariama cristata contig18689, whole genome shotgun sequence.